AGUCAAGUAAUUAAGUGCAUGUGGUGGAUGCCUUGGCAGUCAGAGGCGAUGAAAGACGUGAUAGCCUGCGAAAAGCUCCGGGGAGGCGGCAAAUAUCCUUUGAUCCGGAGAUGUCUGAAUGGGGGAACCCACCUACUUUAAGGUAGGUAUUGCAACAUGAAUACAUAGUGUUGCAAGGCGAACGAGGGGAAGUGAAACAUCUCAGUACCCUUAGGAAAAGAAAUCAAUUGAGAUUCCCUCAGUAGCGGCGAGCGAACGGGGAUCAGCCCAUUAAGUUAUGUGUGUUUUAGUGGAACGCUCUGGGAAGUGCGAACGUAGAGGGUGAUAUUCCCGUACACGAAAGGGCACACAUAAUGAUGACGAGUAGGGCGAGGCACGUGAAACCUUGUCUGAAUAUGGGGGGACCAUCCUCCAAGGCUAAAUACUCCUGACUGACCGAUAGUGAACCAGUACCGUGAGGGAAAGGCGAAAAGAACCCCUGUGAGGGGAGUGAAAUAGAUCCUGAAACCGCAUGCAUACAAGCAGUGGGAGCACCUUCGUGGUGUGACUGCGUACCUUUUGUAUAAUGGGUCAGCGACUUAUAUUCAGUAGCAAGGUUAACCGUAUAGGGGAGCCGUAGAGAAAUCGAGUCUUAAUAGGGCGUUUAGUUGCUGGGUAUAGACCCGAAACCAGGCGAUCUAUCCAUGAGCAGGUUGAAGGUUGGGUAACACUAACUGGAGGACCGAACCCACUGUCGUUGAAAAGCCAGGGGAUGACUUGUGGAUAGGGGUGAAAGGCUAAUCAAGCCUGGUGAUAGCUGGUUCUCCCCGAAAGCUAUUUAGGUAGCGCCUCGGACGAAUACCAUAGGGGGUAGAGCACUGUUUCGGCUAGGGGGUCAUCCCGACUUACCAAACCGAUGCAAACUCCGAAUACCUAUGAGUACUAUCCGGGAGACAGACUGCGGGUGCUAACGUCCGUAGUCAAGAGGAAAACAAUCCAGACCGCCAGCUAAGGCCCCAAAAUCAUAGUUAAGUGGGAAACGAUGUGGGAAGGCAUAGACAGCUAGGAGGUUGGCUUAGAAGCAGCCACCCUUUAAAGAAAGCGUAAUAGCUCACUAGUCGAGUCGGCCUGCGCGGAAGAUGUAACGGGGCUAAAACUAUGUGCCGAAGCUGCGGAUGUAUACUUUGUAUACGUGGUAGGGGAGCGUUCUGUAAGCCGAUGAAGGUGUGUUGAGAAGCAUGCUGGAGGUAUCAGAAGUGCGAAUGCUGACGUGAGUAACGACAAAACGGGUGAAAAACCCGUUCGCCGAAAGACCAAGGGUUCCAGUCCAACGUUAAUCGGGGCUGGGUGAGUCGACCCCUAAGGCGAGGCCGAAAGGCGUAGUCGAUGGGAAAAUGGUUAAUAUUCCAUUACUUCUGUGUAAUGCGAUGAGAGGACGGAGAAGGCUAAAUCAGCCUGGCGUUG
rnacentral:rRNA from 1 species